CUGACUAAUCUAAUUUAUAAAAUCAAAAAAAAAAUUAAAUUUUAAAAAAUAAAAAAAAAAAUUAUAAUUUUAUUUUAUAUAAAUAUAAAAGUUUAAAAAAAUAAAAAUAAAUAAAUUUAAAGUAAGUUUCAUUAACUUUACCUUUUGUAUCAGGGAUAUUCCAAAUUUAAUUUUAAAUUUAAAUCCCGAAAAAUAAAGAAAUAAGAUUUUAAAUUAAUAUUUUAUAUCAAAAAGAUAAUUAAUAAAAUCUUAGAUACUAAAUAUAAACAAAUUAUUAAUAUCUGGUUAUUGGAAAAUUUUUUUAAAAAAAUUAAUAGUUUAAACCCAUUAAAUUUUAAUUUAAUAUAACUAUUUAAAAACAUUAAAGGAUAAUCUAUAAUGUUAAAUAAACUAAAGACUAAAAAAUAAAAAAUUAAUUUUAACAUUUUAUAUAUAAACAAUUUAUAACUAAUGAUUUAUAGAUAAAUUUUUAAAAUAAAGGAGUUAUAGAAAAUAAACCAUAUAAAAAAUAUAUAACAAAAAAAUUUUAAAUAAUAUGAAUAUAUGAAUAUACCAAUUAAAUAUUUAAUAAUAAUUAGGCAAAUAAAUUUUUUAACUGUUUAACAAAGACAUAACUUAAAGAAAUAAAUUUUAGGCAAUUUCUGCUCAAUGACAAAUAAAUAGCUGCAAUAUAUUAAUUGUACUAAGGUAGCAUAAUAAAUUGUUUUUUAAUUAAAAAAUAGAAUGAAAGAAAAAAUAAAAAAUAACUAUUUAUUAAAAUUAAAUUAAAAAUUAAUUUUAAAGUAAAAAAUCUUUAAUAAACAAAAAAGACAAGAAGACCCUUUAGAAUUUUAUAAAACAAUUUAUUAUAUUGGGGAGAUAACAAAAUUUAAAAAACUUUUGUUAAAAAAAAACUAAUAAGUAAAAAAAAUAGAUUAACCAUGACAUUUAAAAAAAAAUAAAUUACCUAAGGGAUAACAGUGCAAAAUUAUUUUAAAGAUCAAAUUUUAAAUAUAAAUUGCAACCUCGAUGUUGGAUUAAGAAAAUUAACUAAAGCAAAAUUUAGAAAAAUAGGUCUGUUCGACCUUUAAAAUCUUACAUGAUCUGAGUUCAGACCGGCGUAAGCCAGGUCAGUUUAUAUCUUUUAAAAAAAUUUUAAAAGUACGAAAGGAAUAUAAAAUUUAAACAAUUU
rnacentral:rRNA from 1 species